ACGGGAGGCAGCAGUGGGGGAUAUUGCACAAUGGGCGCAAGCCUGAUGCAGCGACGCCGCGUGAGUGAAGAAGUAUUUCGGUAUGUAAAGCUCUAUCAGCAGGGAAGAAAGACCGCGUAAGCGGAGAUGACGGUACCUGACUAAGAAGCCCCGGCUAACUACGUGCCAGCAGCCGCGGUAAUACGUAGGGGGCAAGCGUUAUCCGGAUUUACUGGGUGUAAAGGGAGCGCAGACGGAUGAGCAAGUCUGAUGUGAAAGCCCGGGGCUCAACCCCGGGACUGCAUUGGAAACUGUUGAUCUAGAGUACUGGAGGGGUAAGCGGAAUUCCUGGUGUAGCGGUGAAAUGCGUAGAUAUCAGGAGGAACACCGGUGGCGAAGGCGGCUUACUGGACAGUAACUGACGUUCAUGCUCGAAAGCGUGGGGAGCAAACAGGAUUAGAUACCCUGGUA
rnacentral:rRNA from 1 species